rnacentral:rRNA from 1 species
ACAGAGGGUGCGAGCGUUGUCCGGAAUCACUGGGCGUAAAGGGCGCGUAGGCGGCUCGAUAGGCGUGCGGUGAAAGCCCGGGGCUCCACCCCGGGUCGGCCGUGCGGACUGGCGUGCUCGAGCACUGUAGGGGCGGGUGGAAUUCCGGGUGUAGCGGUGGAAUGCGUAGAGAUCCGGAAGAACACCGGUGGCGAAGGCGGCCCGCUGGGCAGGAAGGCUCGCAAGAGCCGGCUGACGCUGAGGCGCGACAGCGUGGGGAGCAAACAGGA